GCUACGAGCAUCGCGUUUGCUUGAUCGUGUGUUUUUGUGUUUGCAGUUAUGAAGUGGGUCGCAGUUAGCGUGCACAGAAGUGCCUGAAGAUACCUUGUGUCAUGCUGCAAACUCGCCGUAUGCGUGGCGCGCCAGGCAAAUGUGGCCCAACGAUUUUAUGCCGUGGAGUGCGACCCCUUUGUUCUCGUGGAAAGUUGGGUGGACGUCGCAAAGAAAUAUUGUGUGUUGGGCGCGCCUCAGCUCGUCCACUACGCAGAGGCAUGUAUGCGGGAAGUAACAUCGUCGACGCAGCACCGGCAACUUGGAGAGCGCUUCGCGACCGCGUCGUACCAUUCAAAAGUGGCGAGGCUGUGACCCAUAACAGUGCCCACAUAAUGGAGGAGCCACCAGACCUCUUGGCUAUGCCUGCCGUAGUGCAACGUGUAAUCUGGAUGGUCGGGUCAGGUACACCUAGGAAAUGUUUUAUACAUUGGCAACGAUAACUGGGGCCUGCUCCAGUGCCAUGGCCGGGACUCCCUGUUCUGCAAAGAACUGGCAUAACUGAUGUGGGGAGC